UACAGAGGUCUCAAGCGUUGUUCGGAUUCAUUGGGCGUAAAGGGUGCGUAGGUGGCGCGCUAAGUCAGGUGUGAAAUUUCGGAGCUUAACUCCGAAACUGCAUUUUAUACUGGCGUGCUUGAGGACUGGAGAGGAGACUGGAAUUCACGGUGUAGCAGUGAAAUGCGUAGAUAUCGUGAGGAAGACCAGUGGCGAAGGCGGGUCUCUGGACAGUUCCUGACACUGAGGCACGAAGGCCAGGGGAGCAAACGGG
rnacentral:rRNA from 1 species